AAACCAUGAUAUGGAAACUUGCAUAACAUUAGCUUAAAGUGGUCCCAUGCAUCAUAUAAUGACUCUCCUUCUAAUUGUCAAAAAUUCGUAAUUUCCAUACAAAGUUU
rnacentral:snoRNA from 1 species